rnacentral:rRNA from 1 species
UACGUAGGGGGCAAGCGUUGUCCGGAAUCACUGGGCGUAAAGCGCACGUAGGCGGACUCUUAAGUCGGUGGUGAAAUCCUGGAGCUCAACUCCAGAACUGCCUUCGAUACUGAGAGUCUCGAGUCCGGGAGAGGUGAGUGGAACUGCGAGUGUAGAGGUGAAAUUCGUAGAUAUUCGCAAGAACACCAGUGGCGAAGGCGGCUCACUGGCCCGAUACUGACGCUGAGGCACGAAAGCGUGGGGAGCAAACAGG